rnacentral:lncRNA from 12 species
AUGGGACUCACCGCCUCCCGGCCUGAUUCAGUGGCUAACGAGCUCAAAUCUGGGGGGGGGGGGGGUUGUGGGGUGGGCAUUGGAGGGCCAUUGCAGCUACAGUGUUCGUGUUGUUUCUUCUCAUUGUUUCUCCUUUUCUUCUGCUCGCGCCCCCCUCCUGGCCGGACCAGCCCGAGCUUCCCGCCCCGCGACCUCCCACUGCCUCCGCGGGGCCCCCUCUCCCUUAGCCUCCGCUCCGCCCCGGCCGAGGAGGCGGGCCCAGCCGCGCGGCGCACCAAUCCAACCGUCCUGAGCCGCCUCGGCCUCCCGCGAGCCCCGCCCCACGCCGCCGCCCUCCAAUCGCGCUCCGCGCCCGCCCAGCUAGGGCGCCCAAUAGCGAGCGGCUGGGCCGCCGGCGCCCCGCCCCUCCCGCGCUCCGCGGCGGCUCCGCGGGCGGCCGCGCUGGGCCUCAGCAUUCUCCCGGCGGCGCCACACAGCGUCGGUCUCUGGCGGCGGCGCUGCUGCUCGCGGGGUGCAGGGCGGAGGCGGCGAGCGAGGCGGGUGCCACCGGCCGGCCGGAAAGGCGCCUCAGCUCCGCCGGGGCCCGCGGCGCGGGACCCAGGACCGAAGAGGAGGCGGCGCCCCGGCUGCCCGGGCCCGGUGCCUGCCCCGAGGGGGGCCGCGGCCGGCCGUUCCUGGCCCGGAGUGUCCCCGCCGCGUCUCCCGGAGAGGCCCCCAGAGCUCCCGGUCGCCCCCUGGGGGUGCCUUCAGCCGCCCCGGACUCACCUGCGCGGGCCGCGGCGCCCAGGUGCGGGGGCGUGUGCGCGGCAGGGCGCCUCCCCCGACCGCCAGCGGGGCGGGGCGGGGCCGUCCUCCGCCUCACCGGUCCGCCCGCCGCGCCCGGUAGCGCGGCGAGAGCUCCCCGGGGACCGCGGUGCGGGAUGCUGCCCGCCAGCGCGGCCGCCCGCGCGCCGCCCACCACCCCAGCCCCUGCCUCCCGGGCCAUGCCCCGCCGUUUACAUGCCGGUGAAGCCCCCGGCCUCUCCGAGCCCCUCCGAAUCCCGGCGUCCCGACGGUGAAGCCAGCCGGCCCGCGAACUGGACUGGUCGCUCAGACCUGGGCCCUCCGGACUCCGAUCCCCGCCCGCUCAGCCGCCUCCGCCACCAUCUGGGCGGGAUCGGGCUCUGA